rnacentral:rRNA from 1 species
UGGGGAAUAUUGGACAAUGGGGGGAACCCUGAUCCAGCCAUGCCGCGUGUGUGAAGAAGGCCUUUUGGUUGUAAAGCACUUUAAGCGAGGAGGAGGCUACCGAGAUUAAUACUCUUGGAUAGUAGACGUUACUCGCAGAAUAAGCACCGGCUAACUCUGUGCCAGCAGCCGCGGUAAUACAGAGGGUGCAAGCGUUAAUCGGAUUUACUGGGCGUAGAGCGUGCGUAGGCGGCUUUUUAAGUCGGAUGUG